rnacentral:rRNA from 1 species
UGGGGAAUAUUGGGCAAUGGGCGAAAGCCUGACCCAGCAACGCCGCGUGAAGGAAGAAGGUCUUCGGAUUGUAAACUUCUUUUAUCAGGGACGAAGUAAGUGACGGUACCUGAUGAAUAAGCCACGGCUAACUACGUGCCAGCAGCCGCGGUAAUACGUAGGUGGCAAGCGUUAUCCGGAUUUACUGGGUGUAAAGGGCGUGUAGCCGGGAGGGCAAGUCAGAUGUGAAAUCCACGGGCUCAACUCGUGAACUGCAUUUGAAACUACUCUUCUUGAGUAUCGGAGAGGCAAUCGGAAUUCCUAGUGUAGCGGUGAAAUGCGUAGAUAUUAGGAGGAACACCAGUGGCGAAGGCGGAUUGCUGGACGACAACUGACGGUGAGGCGCGAAAGCGUGGGGAGCAAACAGGAUUAGAUACCCUGGUAGU